rnacentral:rRNA from 1 species
UACGGAGGGGGCGAGCGUUAUUCGGAAUUAUUGGGCGUAAAGGGCGCGUAGGCGGCCUUGUAAGUCAAAGGUGAAAUCCCUCGGCUCAACCGAGGAAUUGCCUUUGAAACUGCAUGGCUUGAGUCCGGGAGAGGGUAGCGGAAUUCCCAGUGUAGCGGUGAAAUGCGUAGAUACUGGGAGGAACACCGGUGGCGAAGGCGGCUACCUGGACCGGUACUGACGCUGAUGCGCGAAAGCGUGGGGAGCAAACAGG